rnacentral:misc_RNA from 1 species
AAGUCGUAACAAGGUAACCGUAGGUGAACCUGCGGUUGGAUCAUUAGUAAAACUUUUGGGAACUCUGUUCCUGAACACUGUGUGCACCAUUGUCUGUCUCUGGCGGAACCAGGAGCAGUUUGCGAGGUUCUGAGGCUCUCUGUGCGUCCGGAAACGGGCUGCCGUGGAGUUGAUGGACUCGGUGAGCUCUCCCUCCGCCGAAUGUUUUUGAACCAACCCAUGUCUGUAACGUUUUUGUCUGAUCUUGGUUUCUUGGUCUGUCACCCUCUGGGUGUGCGGCUGAAAUCUUUAAAACAACUUUUGACAACGGAUCUCUUGGCUCUC